AAUGGCAUAAGCCAGCUUGACUGCGAGCGUGACGGCGCGAGCAGGUGCGAAAGCAGGUCAUAGUGAUCCGGUGGUUCUGAAUGGAAGGGCCAUCGCUCAACGGAUAAAAGGUACUCCGGGGAUAACAGGCUGAUACCGCCCAAGAGUUCAUAUCGACGGCGGUGUUUGGCACCUCGAUGUCGGCUCAUCACAUCCUGGGGCUGAAGUAGGUCCCAAGGGUAUGGCUGUUCGCCAUUUAAAGUGGUACGCGAGCUGGGUUUAGAACGUCGUGAGACAGUUCGGUCCCUAUCUGCCGUGGGCGCUGGAGAAUUGAGGGGGGCUGCUCCUAGUACGAGAGGACCGGAGUGGACGCAUCACUGGUGUUCGGGUUGUCAUGCCAAUGGCACUGCCCGGUAGCUAAAUGCGGAAGAGAUAAGUGCUGAAAGCAUCUAAGCACGAAACUUGCCCCGAGAUGAGUUCUCCCUGACUCCUUGAGAGUCCUGAAGGAACGUUGAAGACGACGACGUUGAUAGGCCGGGUGUGUAAGCGCAGCGAUGCGUUGAGCUAACCGGUACUAAUGAACCGUGAGGCUUAACCUU
rnacentral:rRNA from 1 species